UUAAGUUAGCUGCCGUGUUCCGUGACCCUGGGUGGUGGAUUGUCUUCAUGGACGUGGGGCUCCCCAGCCCCUUCCUCUUCUAGAAGUGGAGAGCCGGUGAAGCUUGUAUCCAGGACCUGAAAAUACAGAAGCAUGGCUGUUGUGUGGUGAAUGGAUGGCAGGGGUCUCAGCUACUGCUACCACCAGGACGGAUGUGGAUCGUUGCUCAAUCGAGGACACCUUUCAUGACUACAGGAGGGGGCUGGUGGGGAUGUGUUGGAUGGAAAGACCAAGUUGGGAAUGACAGGUGUGGCAGCUGUCUCCUCACUGAAGUCUGGAAAAUCAGGGAAUGUUGAAGAAUUAUUAGAAUUUACUCUGGUUUUGUGGUCCAUGGUGGAUGGUACAUGGUGGCGGUUAAUCCCAGACCUGAGAGUCCCCUGCCUGGCGAGAGUCCGGCUCUGCCUCUUACCUGCAGCACGAGCUUUGUGUCUCAGUUGCUGCAUCUGCAAAAUAAUAGCAACUCACUCAUGGGAUUUUGUUUUUAUUGUGGUAAAAUGUACAUGUGAUAAAUUUACUGUCUUACCCUCUUUUAAGUGUAUUGCUUAAUGGUAUUAAAUACAUUUAUAAUGUUGUGCUACUGUCACCACUGCCCAUCUCCAGAACUCUUUUCACCUUGUAAAACUGAAACUCUGUACCCAUUAAACAAUUCCCCCUUCUCCCCUCUCCCCAGCCCCUGGCAACCAUGAUUCUACUUUCUGUCUCUG